rnacentral:rRNA from 1 species
GCAGCGUGGAUAAGGCAUGCAAGUCGAACGCCCCGAUUUAUCGGGGAGUGGCAAACGGGUUAGUAACGCGUAGAUACAUACCUCUAAGUCUGGAAUAGUCCAUCGAAAGGUGGUUUAAUACCGGAUGGUCCCCUUCGGGGGUAAAGAUUUAUCGCUUGGAGAGUGGUCUGCGUCCUAUCAGCUUGUUGGUAAGGUAAUGGCUUACCAAGGCUAUGACGGGUAGGGGGUGUGAGAGCAUGAUCCCCAACAUCGGAACUGAGAUACUGUCCGGACUCCUACGGGAGGCUGCAGUCGAGAAUCUUCCGCAAUGGGCGAAAGCCUGACGGAGCGACGCUGCGUGCAGGAAGACGGUCUUCGGAUUGUAAACUGCUUUUCUAAGGGAACAAGUUUUGUUUUACAAAAUUGAGCGUACCUUAGGAAUAAGGGGCCGCUAAACUCGUGCCAGCAGCGGCGGUAAUACGAGUGCCCCAAGCGUUAUCCGGAUUCACUGGGCGUAAAGCGUCUGUAGGUGGUCUAUUAAGUUUUUGGUUAAAUCUCUUGGCUCAACCAAGGGGGUGCCAAGAAAACUGGUAGACUAGAGGAAACGAGAGGCUGAUGGAACUGGUAAUGUAGGGGUGACAUCCGUUGAUAUUACCAGGAACACCAAAGGCGAAGGCAAUCAGCUGGUAUUUUCCUGACACUGAGAGACGAAAGCGUGGGGAGCGAAUGGAAUUAGAUACUCCAGUAGUCCACGCCCUAAACGAUGCCAACUAGCCAUUCCGAGUGUCGACCCUCGAAGUGGCGAAGCUAACGCGUUAAGUUGGCCGCCUGGGAAGUACGGUCGCAAGACUAAAACUCAAAGGAAUAGACGGGAGCUCGCACAAGCGGUGGAGCGUCUGGUUUAAUUCGAUGAUAAGCGAGGAACCUUACCGAGGUUUGAAAUCUUAUUGUAAUCCCGAUGAAAGUUGGGACCUUCGCAAGAACAAUAAGGUCAGGUACUGCAUGGUUGCCGUCAGCUCGUGCCUUGAGGUGUUCCGUUAAGUCGGAUAACGAGCGCAACCCCUGUCGUCUGUUACAAGUUUCAGGCGAGACCGCCCCCGUUAAAGGGGAGGAAGGAGGGGACGACGUCAAAUCAGCAUGGUCCUUUGAUACCUCGGGCUACACAGGCGCUACAAUGGUUGAUACAAUGGGUUGCCAAGCGGUAACGCGGAGCUAAUCCCAUCAAAGUCAAUCUCAGUCCGGAUUGAGGUCUGCAAUUCGACCUCAUGAAGUCGGAAUCGCUAGUAAUCGUGGAUCAGCUCGCCACGGUGAAUACGUUCUCGAGCUUUGUACUCACCGCCCGUCACGUUAGGGAAGUCGGUAGCGCUGGAAAUCUCUGCUAGUCAGGGCUUAAGGCGAGAUCGGUGAC